rnacentral:lncRNA from 1 species
GUUCCUCCAGGCAAAGCGCCAGAGGAAGAGGAGCAGCAUGGAGAGAUGCCUCGGAGGCAGGGAUGCUGCUGCUCUGGUUGGGAUUAGCAUCUGUGUGGCGGUCUGCAGGAGGAUGGUUUGUGUCUCAGCUGCAGCACUUAUUGGAGAUGACGGGACAGAAGCUGCUGGUGAGCAUCACUGCUGGGAACAGCGCUGUGCUGAGAAGUUCUGCCCUCUAAGGUCCCCGCUGACCUCCCCACCAGUGGCAGUGAUGUGCUGCAGCACAACAUGACCCAGGCAAAGGGUUUCACCAUGCUGUGAUGGAAGCUCUCUGCUCACUCUGCUCCACACAGGCUGACUUUUUGCACCACGCACCGCCAGCAGCAGCCCGCCUGCCCCAACACGACUUUGCAACUGUCCCUGCCUCUGCUGAAGUCUUCAGUAUACACUGAUGCACAACCUGCUAUAAGUAAGUCCUUGAAGCCCAAAUUUUCCAAAACGGAAACCAUUUC